UGCACACAUAUAAAAGAUAGGUUACUUCCUAAUAUGGCUUUUUGUGGAAGCUUGAUAUAUGGCAUUUGAGCAGUAAGCUUUGGCAUAGCUGGCAUUUGGCUUGGCUUGGCUUGGCUUUGGAACAAAUGACUUGUUAUGACUUGAUCAAUUCUUCGAUUGAUAAAUACUUUGGAAAACUCCGUAUGUGUUGACGCUUAGUGCACUGGUCUGGUUCACAAGCGACUAACACUGAAGUCAAACAUUGUACCUUCUUUGUCAGCAAACAUUGAUCAGUCGGUUCAGGGUUAGUUUAUGCUUCAAUUGUUGAUUGUAAAUAACCAACCAAGAUAUAGAGAAAUAUCUUGCUUCAGGGGUUGCACUGAAAUCUUUCGAGUACUUGGACAACAUCUUCAUUACUUCCACAAUCUUGAAUACUUCAAUCUUUAUUCUUCACUGAGGCAUGAACAUAUUAAUGAACUUCUUCCAGUGAACUUAUUCCUUCAAGACUGUAGAUG
rnacentral:lncRNA from 1 species